rnacentral:rRNA from 1 species
UACGGAGGGUGCGAGCGUUGUUCGGAAUCACUGGGCGUAAAGGGCGUGUAGGCGGUCCGCUAAGUCUGAUGUGAAAGCCCGGGGCUCACCCCCGGAAGGGCAUUGGAAACUGGCGGACUCGAGUCCCGGAGAGGAAGGUGGAAUUCCUGGUGUAGCGGUGGAAUGCGUAGAGAUCCGGAAGAACACCGGUGGCGAAGGCGGCCCGCUGGGCAGUGACUGACGCUGAGGCGCGACAGCGUGGGGAGCAAACAGG